UUCGCUUAAACUCGUGUUAUUUAUGCGUAAUUUUGCCGCCCGUCUCACAACAGCCGGGGCUGAGAUGGCAGUUAAUUAGCUCGGGAUAAGGAAUUGCCCGAAAUUAAACAGACAAACAACAUCGGCGUGUUCGCUCGUACUGCGGGAGGAACGGGCUGGCAGUCGCGGGGCGCGAUUGAAUGAAUAAAAGUCGAUUUUCCCCUUCGUCCCUCGGGGAAGCUCGAGGGAAAGAAAGCGCAUCCUCUUGCAGAGAAAAAGCUCGCGGUAUUCCUAACGAUCCCGGCACCCCGCGCUUUAUACGGGGACCAGCUCCGGCAAAUCCUUCUCGUCCGGGGCGAAGCACACCAUCGGACCCACACGUAUAACAGGAAAAAGACGGCCAACGGUGCGGGAGAAUUUAGAGAGUCUUUGUCUGUCGCUUAGAAGAUGUAAAUCCCCGGGUCUUAAACGGAGUCGUUACUCCGUUCUCUGCUGGUGAAAAUGCGUAAAAAUCCCCUUUCUGGGUACAGAUGCCAAGCGCUCUCCCCAGGGUUGCAAGCGCCGGGUGUCUUGAUUUGACGUCAGGAUUUUGGGGAGAGAGGAACGUUUGGGAAAAGUCUUUGCGUUUUAUGUCUUCGAUAAAAUAGUUAUUGAGGCACAUGUAAAUCAGUGAAGCCGGAUCGGGGCAGCUUUCCCGGGCUACCUCCAACCCCAAAUUUUCAUCCCUCGUGUGAUCUAAGCAGGGAUGUAAUAACUGGAGGAUUUUCACCAUUAUAUUUCGUUUUAAAACAAGUGGACAGACAGUUUGGAGACAAUCAUUUAAAACUCCGCAUCUCUUUGGAGAAAGGUCGCACUGGAAAAUGCUGAUCUGAAGUCUGACCGGACAACAGGCAUCUAAAACAAGCAGUUUGUGGGGAAAUCACAGCUAGAAAGGACAUCUAAAGGAAAAGAAACAGAGAGGUCUGGGAGAUGUUUGCCUUUCAGAAACGCACCGAGAAGCUGGCAAGCGAAGUGCCGAAAUGCAAAACUGAAAUCAGUUUCAAGGUGUGUACAACUGAACACGGAAACCUGAAAAUGCUUCAGACCUGAGCACCCAGCCUCGCAGCAGCAACCGAUACCUGCGCCCACCUGGGUCUCUCUCUGUCUCCAGAGGAUGCUGAGGUCUAGGUACAGGGAACGUGCUGGAGGAUCAGG